rnacentral:lncRNA from 1 species
UUUUUUUUUUUUUUUUUUUUUUGGGUAUGACAGAAUGUCUUUCCUAUGAGAGAAAACAACUACUACUAACCUGAAUUGCACAUAGUUGACAUCAUUCUCAUGGCCAGCUAGCAAAUCAAUCUCAUGACUAGGUUGCUCUGGAUCAUCUGAAUUGGAUUUACAAGCACUCCACACCUAGAAACAGCCAUGUAUUAGGGCACUUCAAUCCAAAUACAUCCAUUGGAAUUCUCUGCUUACUGAUAAAGACUACAUGAUCAUGUAAAACAACAGUCCAAAAUGCACAUAGAUUUUUAUUAUGUGUCUGGUAUUUUUGAAAAAUUCACUCUUCUUAAGUGCCCGUAACAGGUGUACAAAUUAUUGUCAACGCAGAUGAGUUCCACAUCUUAAAUACUCAAAUAGAACUUUAAAAAAUAUGGAGAACAAAUUUUUAGCUGUUCAAUAAAUAUGGAAUAUCAAAGUCUUGUUGAGCAUUAGACUAGACAAGUACAAUGUUUCACAUGUAGGUUAGCAUCUAUCUAAAAAGAAACAAGUAAACAUGCACAUAUAGGUAUCCAACACAUACAGUUGCUUUAAAUUUCCUGAAAGGCAUCUACGAUGGGUGAUUUUACAUGAAGUGUUCUUAAAGCAGGGCAUUAGAGGUAUUCCAGCCAUUUUGACCAAGGAUUAAGGAACCAGCUGGAUGGCUGGCCCAAUGCACCAGAAUACAAAGCGCAUGCAUUUUCUCUUCAGAUUUGGGCUUCAAAAUUCCAGUAAAACAUUGCCUAGAAUUGCAAGAUUUACAUGUUGCGUUUCCUGACUUCUCUUCAACUAGAUUUAUUCCCAAGUUUCACAACUACUGAAGCCAAACUAGACAGUUUCUAUUUACUUAAUCUGGCUACAUGAAAGCAUAGAAUACAUAAGCCUCUUUUAUCUUUGUACCCUAGCAUGAGUAUCAGAGCUUCCAGUGACAAAGACAGUUCCAUUCGCAUUGUAGGCACAGCAUAAGAUUUGAUGGCACUGGGAUACAUUACUUGAGGAAGGCACAUUAGCCAAAGGGAGGCUGCUUGUCUUCCCUGCAUCAAUUCUUAGGACAAUGAACACUCUGGCAACCAAUUGGCAUAGAAAAUACAACUAAGAAAUAAAAAAGUAGUCUUCUAACCAGAAACAACUUCCAAUGGCGUUGGCAAGUAAACACGUGGACUACAAUCUGAGGAUCUUGCAUCCCAGAUCCUGCAAGUCCCAUCAUCUGAAGACCUACAGAGAUUAAAAACCAGCAAAGACAAUGAAACUCAUGUGAGCCAGACCAAUUACCUUCCAAGCAUCAGUUUGUUUUUCAGCAGAUAAAUUUCAAUCAAAGUAGAAUUGUUCACACAUGAUAAUUUUCUAAAGAAGAUGCCACCGCAAAAGCACAUGCUUCCAGAAUAGUACAGUUGAAAGUAAAUGGCACUGAACACCUUGCCCAACCACACAUUGUCAUCCAUGAAGUGUCAAAAUGAGAACUAUCUCACUGCAGGCAUAAGACAAGCACCAGAUAGAUAAAGUAAAGGAGGCAGCCUAUGUGAGCCCAACUGCUCUGUGUGGGUGUGUGUGUGUAAAACAGAUAGAGACAGAGAUAUAUAGAUAGAUAGAUAAUUAGAUAGACAACUAGAUAGAUUUUGACAAAAAAAAAAAGAGAGAUAGACAACUAGAUAGAUAGGCAGGUAGGUGGGUAUAUAGAUAGAUAGUCAGAGAGAGAGAGGAUUCAGAAUAAAUCUGAAGAAAGACUAAUUCCAAAGAUGGUCAAUACUUCAAUUUCAACACAAUGUACACAUCCAAAAGCACAUUAUGAAAGUCUUGAUAACGUCGCCGAGCUAAAAGAUAACAUGCAACAAUAGUGCUUACAAGGAAUGAAUCCGAAACUAAACAAUCAUGAUAAGAAAUGGAAACAAGUUGCAAGAGCUAGAACUCCUUUAGUAUUACUCUGACCAAAUAGGUGCCGAGAUGUACCAGUUGUACAUUUUGACAUAGUCAUUUAUCCACAUCUUAUUGCAGUUCUUAAGGAUAAGAAUUGACACAACUAUCUAUAAAAAUCAACCAUUUAAAAGCCUGGAAUGAAACACUAAGAAAUGUGAGCCAACAAUACUUAAAUUCAGGUCCUAAUUCCCGCAAGUCUUUCCUGUUCUUGUGAGCCUAAAGUUUAAUACAUCUCCUAGGAGGUUUGCAUGGUUUGUCUAUAACUAACAGUAAGGAUCUAAGAUCCACCAGAGAGGAUGCUCUAUCACAGCAUCCAAAGGCAUCUGGUAUUAACUGAAGGAAGAAAAUCACAAGGAUCUACCAAAGUGAGAUUAGAUUAAUCAUCAAAAAUGGAAAAGAAAUCAGGAACAGAGAUUAAAUCAGUCAGAAGGGCUCACGAUAAAAGUUGAUAGACAGAGCUAGGCCUGGGACUGAAUGCAAUGGCAGUAACAGCUCCUGUAUGUCCUUGCAGAACUGAAAUUGGAAAUCCAUCUGGCAAUCGCCACUGUAGUACACAAGACAAACUACUUUGAAAAAAGUGAAGGAUGGCAGAUCUCUUUGUUGAGCAAAGAUAGAUCACUCAAAUAGAGAAGAAACUUACAACACGAAUGCUGUAGUCAUUGGAAGCAGAUGCUACUAAUAUAUUGUUUGAGCUAACAGCUAAGUCAGUUAUGUCACCCUUUAAUAAGAAAAACAAACGAGUUAAAUCACUAUGAGAACAUAUAAUUGGAUCAAAGGCAAACCAGGAGUCAAAAAAACUUCAGCAAAGUAUUUCACAUCCACAUCGUCCAACUUACUUCAUGACCUCGACAACUGGCUAGACAAAAUGCAGUUUCCAUGGACCAUAUCUUGACAAGACGAUCAUCUGACCCAGUAAUGACAUAUCUUCCAGAGCGAUCAAAUAUUGCUAGAGUACAAAGAAGUUGUCAAUAGAAUUGCUUUAUAUAGAUUAGCAUUAUUUGCUAACAUCAAAAUACUAAAGAAGCUCAGAAGGAGAGACAAGCAGUGAAAGGAGCCAAUAUGUGAAAGUUUAACAUUCAAAAUCCUAACAAUACGUCAUUUUCAUAGACAAUAUGAUUUCAAGAGAUAUAAGAUGUUCAUGCAAAGAUCAGAAUAGAGGUAUCACACCACAAUACACAGCAUCUCUGUGUCCCCUUAGUUUCUUUAUAUUUUGCAUCUUCUGCACCAUCAUUGACGGCUUAGCUACAGCAUAAGAGGCAAAGCGAACUGAUGGAGCCCGAUGGUGUUUUGAAAAACCACCCCCAAUUUCUCUCAAACUUAGUCCACGGACCUGAUCUGCCAGCAUGUGAGGCCAACGGAGAUAAGAAGCAACAUGUUUUACUUGCUUGCUGACACUAUUUCUAUCACCUGUAGAAACAGUACAGCCACAUUUUACAUACUUAUAAGACUAGCAAAACACAUUGUCAGAACAAAGGCCAAAUAUCUUAUUGGAAAUACUUAUCAAGUACAUUAAAGAGAAGAAAUAGACAAUUAUGCCCUACAAGAAACCAUAGCGAAGAAACGUGCAUAUAGGGCCAGCAAUGGACACGAGGAAUUUCAAGCUACCAGCUACUAAGGCAGCCUUCCUAUGGCUGCUCAAGAUAUGCGAGGAACAAAGAACACUAGUAGGAACUAUAUUAAGCCACAUAAUUUCUAUUCAACCUCUAUCCUACUGUAUUCUGUGCUCUCCCUUAAUCUUUACAUGGUACAGAAAAUCGGUCAACAUUAAAUUCGGCCAGCACUAAACAGCACCUAGUCCAUGAAAACUUUUGAUAUUACCCAAGGAAUCAUUCAACAUGAGAUCAGCCCCCACACUGCAAAAGAGUGAGGAUUGUAAUAAAUGAUUGGAAAUAAUGGUUUAAAGUUCAACAAGUUUCUUAUAGAGGGAUAUCCAAAAACCAUCCUUAACAAGCAACUACCAAGCCCAAAAAAUUUCCCUCUACAUAUUCUUACUUUAUCAGCUAUUGCAGAGAAAAAAUCUAAGCAAUGAUGCAAUUCAGUAUCAACUAAGUGAAUUUACACAUCUGUGCUGCAGUCUUGUGGGCGUGUGUGUGUAUGGCACGUGUGUGUGUGAGGGGGAGAGAGACAAACAGACAUGCACACACAGAGGGAGAGAGAAAGAAAUACAGGAAAGCUACAUACUGCAUAAAAGAGAAAAGGAGCCAGUUCCAAGAAGAGUGGGCACAUCACUAGCACUUGGAACAGUUCUUCCAACAAUGCAAGGUAAUGGAGUCGAAGUGUUCAACAUCAGUUGUCUAAGCAGCUUUACCAGGUGAUCAUCUUCAAUGUGAGGAAACCUAAUUGUCAUAGAAAUUCAAAGAUUAUACCUUCCCGAAACAGAUAUCAAAAGAAUGGAAAAGUGGCUGUUCUCUUCAGGAGUUUCUUUGUACUAUUCUUCUUUUACAAUUGAUUCAAGAUCCAAGAAAUUGCUCAAGGAUAGAAAUUGUAUAUUACCAAAUACAACUUUACAAACGCAGGCAAAAAGAAAAAGAAUAAAUUUUACAGCAAUGGCCCAAAUUCCACAGCAGCACCAGUAUUUCAAUAUCAGAAAUGGUUUCUAGAAGAUUUGAAAUAAAUAUUUUGUCCCCCCCCCCUCCCCCCAAAAAACGUAAGGCUUUAACAUGCAUUAUGACAUAACUUGAAAUGGCAAACAGUAGUAGAAUGAUAAAAAGGAACAAUAGCAGCAUCUUGGAUGAAUCACGUACUAUAUCUCUAAAAGAGAUACAAGUUUCAAGCAACACAAAAACAGUGUCUAUCAAUUGCACACUAAUUCAGAAAAGGCUACCAAUAAACAAUCAAUGAACAUUUACCUCUUGACGAGAUUAUCAUAGUUUAAAGGGAAAGAUACGCCAUCAUCAUUUUCGUGACCGCUUUGUGCUCCGCUUCUUGAAUACCAAGCAUGAUAUCUCCUUGGUAGAAGUUCAUGUUCUAAAAGUUCAUCUAAAAUUUGUGUAAAAGUUUUUUGGCAUGGCCCAGUUGAUAAAAAUCGCAUAAUCAGAAAAUAAACUUCUCUAAUGUCAACAUCUACAUUCGCUGCAGCAAGAUGAUUAUCAGAACCCUCCUGCUCUUCCAAUCGAGAGACUGCAUGGACCUUAUUAACAAAAUUCAAAGGGGCCAUUUUUGUAGAAGGCACGUCGCUCCAAGAUGGGCACUUCUGAAAAUCCAUACACUAUCAUAAGCAGAACCAUAAAAGCAAAAAUACAUUAAGAAUAUGCCUUUCAUAAUGUGAACUUCUCAUAGCUAAAGAAGCAUUAAAUUCAAAACAAUGAUACCAUGUAAUCAAUAAUGAAGGGUUUUUGUAAUUUAGCAGUUAACAGGUGCUCACAUGCUCCACGUCAUAGCAAAGUAGCAUUUUCAGCGAACCAAAAAGAAAUUAAGGUUGGAAAGUCGGUGCUUACAUAUCUACUUAAAAUCUUCUCAAGGAAAAAAAAACAAUGUCUGCGCAUUGUACUCGAAAUAACAGUUUAAAGGAAAAAAGUAAUGAUCAAGAGUUCCAUACCAGAGUACAGGCUUGUGAAGGAAAAGAAAGGAUGUUCUCAUCUCAUUGAAUGGUUUCUAAGAGUAGCAAAGGAAUAACCUAAAUUGAACAGUCAAUCAUCUGCUUACAAGCCAACCCUAAACCCUAUUAUCUUUCCCAGCUUCAGAAUGAAAGACCUUUAAACCCAAUUCAUUGUAGACCAUGAGAUAAUUCAAGCUACCAAUAUGAACAUAUAGACACAAAUUCUUAUUGGCUUGCUAAACCUGCAUAUGUAUAUGAACAUUGUCGUUCAUAGUUUCAGUCUUCGUCCUUACAAAACAAUCCCUGCAUAUAAAUCUAAUCAUCCCUUUUUCAAGUUUAUCCAUCUUCAUCCAUGAGCAGCAUUAGUCAAAACAAAGAAUGUGCUAAACUAUUAGCAGGAGUAGAAACUACAGCUGUUAAGAAAUUCCAAACGCAUAGGAACUGGCCAAUAUAAAUCUUUCCCUCGAGCUCAGAGGAACUCAACUAUCAUUCAAGUGAUUAAAAAGGACCAACAAAAAAAAAAGAGUGCCAGUAACUUACUAGAUGAAACAGGAAAGACAAAUGGAUACCUCAAUCACAAUUCAGCUGCCGUCAAGCAAAAAUUGAAGUUAAACAACCAAUGCGCUACACAUGAAUCUUAAGUUAAAACCUACUUUGACAGGCUGGUAAAGUUAACCACCGACCCAGACUAGAAAUAAAUGAUAAGAGGACGAAGAAAAGGGAAAAAGAAAAGAGCACAGGCGAGGGGAAAAAAAAAAAGGAAAGUUAGAUUGUCCAAAAUGUAUCCAAGAUAUCGGGAGAAGAAGUUAAAUCAGUAGCCAAAGAACCCUAAUUUCCAUUCAUGAAGAGUUACUGAUAUAAGGCAAAUUGGAGAAGGAAAAAAGAAAAGAAAUGAGGAAGAAGAUGCUUAAGAUGCUGUGGUUGAAUAAUUUCUCAUACCUUUCUCUACAAGAAUAGUUGGUGAAAGGGAGAAAAAGAUGGUUGAAUUGAUAUUGGUGUUUCUUUAGCAUCCGAAAACAAGCUUGUUCAGAUGAACGCAGUGAACACCUCUCUCCUCACCUCGUCUUUUUUAGCUAUGUCCGUCCAUCUCUCUAUGGAUACAACAAAUAGCAUACGGGUUUUUGCCCCGAGAGAGAGAGAGAGAGAGAGAGAUCGUGAGAGACGGCGCAAAAGGGAGGUGGGUUCAGAUUUAUUUGGAAAUAAUCGUAAUAAGAAAAACGUUAUUUGCACUUCCAUCUUUUCUCAUUUGCAGUUUUGCUGCUUUUGCACUCCCAUUAUUAUUUUAAUUAUAUAACAGUUUUCAUUUUAAUUAUAUCAUUUUAUGUACAAAUAACAAAAAAAUAGAGUGUCAGUAAUAUUUUCUUAAUAAUAAUAACAGUCUCUUCAACGAGUGCUCAAUAGAUUUCAGGCGUUCAUACUUUUGAAAAGUAACGCUGAUUAGAAAAAAAAUAUAAAUGUAAAAUAAAAUAAUAAUUAUUAGUAUACGAAUUCAUAUAACAAAUUAAGGGUGAUCUAAAUACACUAACCUAUAUCUAUACAAUAUAUAUAAUACCUCAGGAAUGGCAUUUGGUGUAAAUAUUUUUGUCAUCUUUGAAUUUUUAAUUUUACUCUUAUAAAAAUUACUUUUUAUGCUAAUCACACAUUUCACUAAUAUAAAAAACACCCUAAUUAUUUUAUCUACCAAAUUACUAUAAUCAUCAUGUAAACCAAAAGUAAGUUCUUUUGAUGAAAAUUUCAUGUAAAAUUUUUUAUAAUAUGUAACAAACAAAAUUUAUAUAAAAUUGAUUUAUUUUAUAAUGUGCCCUCAGUACUAGAAGAGAUAGUAGUAGUAAUAACUUUGGAUCAACGUUUUUACUAGUUGAUUGUUGGCCGCCAUGAAUGAUGAAACAGUUACAGUAGUAGUAGUACUUCCAGUAAAAUGAGGCCGAAAGACAAAUACGCCUGUUCAUCGCAUGCUCAUAAAUCAUACUAAUACAGAGUUAGUUCAGACUUGUUCGAUUUUAAACAUCCUUCUUGACAGUGACAGCAACUAAAUAAUGCGUUAAGUUGGUUGGAGUGAUAUUUAUGGUGCAAACGUCAUCCGCAAUGGGUAUUAUUGUGUUGUAUAAUUACUAGUACUACAUAUCCAGGCAAGAAUAAAAGAAAAAAAAAAGUCGUAGGAAACAACAACAAAACAUGAUGGAUUAGCUUUCUUAUGAACAUUUUUUUUUAAAAAAAAAUGACAAUAAUAAAGCAGCAAGUCAAGUCAUGCAGAAUUUGGUAAAACAGGAGAAUGAGUUCGAGCUGUGGCAGUCCGUGGUCGUAAGACAGAAUGCACUCCCCUUCCAAAAAAAAAAAAGAAGACAGAAUGCACUCACUCAGUCACCGGCGAAUGGCCUCCACAUCCCAUCCCAACUACUCCGUAUAAUGAAAUAAUAAUCUCAUCUCAACAGUAGCAGAAGCUGGGAGUCUCAGCUAAAAGCUUUACUCGCUACAUUAAGAGAAAAAAAGGAGUGGGUACAGGUUUAGACUUCCAAUCAUGACAACACACACAAUAUUAACACGCUGACCCAUUAGUCCCCACUCCCGAACGUUAUCAAUUUCGACUAGACUUGCACCUACAGUCAGUAAUGCAAAUUCCUGAAGCAGGAUCAGGAUCAGGCAUCUAUGAAUCGGAUAUCAAACGUGUUCGGGUGGAUCUGCCACACGUUCAAGGCUGCAUAUUCUUCCAAACAUUCUUUCAAUUGGCCUUCACUGUAUCCCUGGUAUAUUAUAACAACAAAGACAGCUCACAUCAGGGCACAGGGUACUAAACUGUCAUGGUAAAAAAAAGGUCGAAGAAACACAACAAAUCAUUAAGUGUUAGUUAUGCUUUCCCAGUUUCGCUUGGUUUCCAGGGAAAUCCUCGCUAAAUUUAAAAGUAUUAAGCUUUCGCAUGCUAACCUUUCGAGAAAUCCAGUUAAGGGCAUGGGCAUAGCUUAUAUCCAUCCUGUUUGCCCUUGCAGCUUCAUCACGUAAGAUUGAAUAUAUAUCUGAGAUUGCAUCCAAGCCUGAUCUUCGGCGAUCAUCUGAAUACAAAGAGAACUUUGACAUUUGCAUUAAUCUUAGGGCCUCGUCCACAUCACUCUGGGCAACAGUGUCGGAGAACCGAAGUCUAGCCAGUGCCUAAAACAUAAAUAAAUAAACAAACAAUAAACAGAAAGAGAGAGAGAGUUUACAUGUCAAUCAGACAGUUAUUAGAAUGGAAUAUAUAGCAUGCCAUCUACAAUUUGCCACCUCAGAACCCCAACAAAAAUAAAAAUAAAAAAGUAUCUAGCCACUCCACUUACAGCUGAUAUUCUGAGAAUGCUGAGCAGGGUUCUAACAGUGGUAUACGAAUGGGGUGUAUUUGAUUUUGCCUCCUCUUGCCUUAUACUGGAAUAUGCAGUAGCUAUAUACUCCUCCAACUCCCUUGGGACAGAAGGAGACAGUUUUCUUGCCGCCGAUAUAUAGGCCCUGGUAACAAUUAUUAAAAAUCCAUAGCAAAUCAUGUUGAAGUUAGAAAAAUGGUCUCUCAUAUUUUUCAUUCAGUACAUUAUGACCAGGCUAAACUAGGAAAUCCCAUCCCAAAAUGUCCAGUUUUAAACCAAAAGUACAAGGUUUAAUGUUACCGCAGGACAGAUGGUUCAAGUGGAGUAAAUCCAAGAGCAGGAGACUCUUUGUUCUGGUGGACAUAUACAACAUGCCUAGCCAUUUCAAGAUCAGCAUCCAUAUCCGCUCUAUCUAAGAUCAACCAUAGAAGGUCAAAUCUUGAUAACAGCGCUGGAGGGAGAUUGAUGUUUUCGGCUGGUGUUCUUCGCAAGUCAUAUCUUCCCCUAAGGAAAAAAAUUCCAAAUGAUAAUAAACUUUUCUAUUUCUGACGCAUGCGUCACUGUGGAGGAUAUCAUGUGAAAGUGUAACAGAAAAAGCAUAGAAAAUAAAAAGAAAAGGAAACAACUCAUAUAAGAUGUAUCAAGUGUUUACCAUGCUGGAUUAGCAGCAGCAAGGACAGCGGUCCUCGCAUUCAAAGAUGUAGUAAUCCCAGCCUUUGCAAUACUCACAGUCUGCUGCUCCAUUACUUCAUGUAUCGCUGUUCGAUCAGAUUCGUCCAUCUUGUCAAAUUCAUCAAUAGCGCAUAUACCCAUGUCAGCUAAAACCUGACACAAAGUAAUAUAAGAUAAGAGCCUUGACGGCUUGUAAUGAGAAAAUAAACUCUGAGAAAUUAACUGAGACAACAACAUCAGGCUAUGACCCCACAAAGCUUGACAACCCAAUGCUCAUGCAUAUCUGAUUUCCCAUCUUCAAUUGGUUUACUUUACUUUACCAGAUCUUCUACACGUAAUUCUUUGGAUUGCCCCUUGAAAAUAAAAAACAGAAUCAUAUGAAAGCAAACCAUAUUCUUACCAAUGCUCCACCUUCGAGAACCAUUUCAUAUGUCACUGGGUCCUUCUGAACGGCUGCAGUUAGACCAACUCCACUGCUUCCUCUGCCAGUGGUGUAUACACCUCUUGGUGCAACAUUAAUUAUGUGCUUAAGAAGCUGACUUUUUGCAACACCUGGAUCACCCAUCAAACAAAGAUGUACGUCUCCUCUAAUCUGCAUUUUACGAAAGAAAACUCAAUUUUAGAUCCUUAAGCGAGCAGAAAAUUCAAGAUUCUCCUCAGAAAGCAAAAAGGUAAUCUGAGAAAUUAUCUGUGCACACAAGAUUAAGGUACCAUCAUUCUAUUUACUGUUAUCCAGAAUUCAUUGCAGCAGUCAUUAAGCAAUACCCAGCAUCAUUUUCCUAGUAGAGAGUUCUUGACAAAAGUAGGAUUAUUUUUCCUGAAACAGGAGCAAUGAAAGUAAUCUGUGGGCCAUGCAUUACCUUCAUACCGUCCUUUAAUUUCCGAUGAGGAGCACCAACUAGAAGAAGAAGAAGAGCUUUCUUAAUAUCUUCAUGUCCAAAAAUUUCCGGAGCUAAAGAGCGUGCCAACUUAUUGUAAAUAUCACCAUCCUCAGCUAAGCGCAAUAUCUGUUCUUCCUCAUCUCCUCUGAGUUCAUAUCUGCAUUUAGAAACGAGAAGAUUAUAAGGAACCAUGUUUUGCACAAAUAUUUGUGUCUCUGGUUGAAACAUUUGAUUCAUUAAGAUUAGACAAGCCUUACUCCUCAUAUUUUUUCUUGAAAUGGGUAACAGACAUGGCUUCCAAAUACGUAUCUGCAAUUAAACCAGCCCGCAUGGCUCUGAAUCCAGUGUAAGGAAUGGGAAGGAAGAUCCCUGAUAACUCAACCACAUCUCCAGGAGAUACCUACAAGGUCGGAAGGAGAUCAAUGUCAGACUAAUAAAAUAUUGUAUAAAAACUGCAGAAGCUAUCCAAUGAAAACGAAUCAGGAUAAGUUAAAUAUUGACUCCUUUUGCAGUUUUGAUUAACAGUCCCUUAACUCAGGCAGCACUUGUUAACGGGCCAAGCAGGUCCUCUCAGGAAAAGCACUGAAAAUACUUUAGGGUUUCCCAAAAACACAGCAAUCAGCUGAAUAAGACAGAUUCGGCUCCGUUCUAUAAAUAACAAUCUGCACACUCGUUUGGGCAUAUAUUUUAAGCAACCAAAUUGGUUAGAAAACUACUUCGCGGGAUAUUACAACUCCAUGAUUUCAAUUUACAGAAGUACUGGAAGUUGUCCAAGAUGCACAUUCAUGAUUUCACAAAUACAGUAACAAGCUUGGUAUCAGCAGAACUACAGGUUCAGGAAGAGUCCUUCAUAAGGAGAAAUUUCUAGGAAUUCAUUCAUUGCUUACCUUCCUUGUGAGUUCUCCCCUGAAAUGGACUGUCAUUGUUCGAGGAAUAUGACCUUUGGGGACAUGUUCUGCCAAUUCCUGGAUUUUUGCCUGAAAGUACAGUAUGAAACCAUGUAAUAUGUAGCUCACGGAAAAACUAUCCUCGAGAGAUAAGACUCAGUCUUGACAAACCUCCUGAAACUUCAAAAACUUUGAUGCCCUGAGCUGGUGGAUAAGGUUGCCUUUAGUUUUAUUUAUCUUGCAGCGUUGGGAUGGGCACUCAAACAGAGGCAUAAAAACUCUAGAAGUAACCUCCUGAGAUCACAUAAACAACCACUCAGAGACUCGUGAGAAGAAGAAAAAAGUAAACAGGAAUCAGUUUCGUGUCAGGUUGCUAGAGAAUCAAGAGAAUAGUAUUUCUGCAAUUGCGAGGCAAUAAUGGAGAGAACAAAGAUGGUUACACCAAAGAUGCAAACUUAGCAUAACAUGCAAUAGCAAAUGCACAAACCAAAGUACAUUUCAAAAGAGAAGGAAAAUAUUUCAACAUUAUGGUCUAGUAAAUACCAGUAGAGAUUGAAAGCAUGCAAACCUGGUAAAUUUCAAAUCCACAUUCUUCACAAGUAUAAACAGCUACUUGAAUCAGUGGCUUCACAUCAGAGCAACGCGUAACAAUCCCCGAUAUCCUCACGAGCUGGCCAAUGUACGAAGCCUUCACCUCCCUGAUUGUGAAAGGCCUUCCUUUUGGAGAUGCUCUGAUGUAAACUUCACUGUUUCCGUAUAGAUUCAGACUUUAGCAAGAUGCUCGCUUCAGGAUAAAGAUUAUUUUUCUUUUGAAUAUUUGACAAUUUAAAGUAGCCAUGAAAAUUACCCGAAAGAAAUAAAAUUAAGAAGAACGUGCCAUUCUAACAAAUAAAGACGCUUAGUGGUUUGCCAAUAUUUUGAUUUUUAGUUUUGUUUACAGGAAAAUGAACUGAAGCAUAAGUUGUGCUACCGGAUAACAAUAAGCUAUGUAGAAGCUUACAAAUAACGUUUGAUUUCAGGAGGCAUCUUCUGCUGGGGAUCGGAACCAUCGGCAUUCUCAGUUCCUUCCUCGGACCUCUGGGUCAUUAGGAUAUCUUGAUCAUCGUCAGGGAAGGGCUCGGUGGCCUCAGGCAUGAGCUCAUCAAUUGUGUUGGCAAAAAUUUGUAUGUAACGCCGGGUAUUUUCCGUGACCCGCCUAAGGAAGUCUUCAUCCAAGUCCUUGUACUGAUAUUUAAACAACUUCAUCACCGACAACGAAUUUACAGGAUCAAGUUUAAAUGACAGGCAAUGAAUAGGACAUUAGAGUUUCAAACGAGAUUACAUUCACUAAAUCUUCAAGCUCGAUGUGAACGGCCUUCAUUUUAUGAUUCGCAACAUCUUGCUGAAAUUCAAAAGACACGUAUGUAGAGAUCCAUAAAUUUACCAAGAAAGAGAGAAAUGCAAAAACAAACAUAAUCAUAUAUGUAAAUAUGUAUAGACACGCGCAUAAGGGGAUCCGGUGAAAAUUAAGAACAAAACUGAGGAGAAUAAUCUCACAAGCAUAUUCAUGUAUUUGGCUUCUCCAUCUGGAUCCGCAAAGUGAGAAAGAAAAUCUUUUGCCAGAUCUGAAGAUUAAGCAAAACAGACGAUAAAUUUCGGGCACCCGCGAUGCAGCAGUUUCCAAUGCGCAUACCCCUUCCCCUGCGCCGGGGAUGGGGGGGGUGGGAAGAGAGAUCUCACCUUUAUCUCGGUCGAAGUCGAGAUUGUCCAUCGCCGCCAUCUUCUGGAGCUUGACAGUAAAUCGAGGAUUCCAGUAAGAGGAGCUAGGGACCUGGGGGCAGGGAAAAAGGAUAUGGGUUGAAAGAGGACUAAAGAAUUGGCGGCAAAACAGAUGGCCGUCCUAGAGAGAUUUGGCGGGAAAAGUAUAGUACGACGACGAUAGCAUUAGAUUUUUCUAUAUCACUCCUCGUAUUGAAGUAAUUUUCUGCCAUCCACCCAUUUGGAUAAUUGAGUUUUUCAAAAAUUAGUUUUUUAAAUAUUAUAAACAAUUUUAAAAAGUAAUCUCAAUUUUCUAAUGUUUAAAAAAUAUUUUAAAAAUUUUAUUGCUCUUAAAUAUUUUAAAAUAUAUUCUAAAAAUAUUCUAAAAUAUAAUAUAAAAACUCUGUUACAAUAAAAAAAUUUAAAAAUAACUAAUUUAAACGAAGCGUCACCACAAUUUUUUAAUGAUAAAUAUACCCUUCACAACUCAAAUAUUUGGCCCAUGUUGAAAAGAGUAAACUUGCCAUUUUAAUACAAUUUCUCAGCUGUGACAUGAACACCAACCUUCGCAAUAUUCUUUCUAAUUUUUCUUUAAUGUCACCUUAGUCUCUAAGACCAAUUGUCCCCAGUCAAGUGACAUGUGGGGUUAAGACACGGAUGAUGGGUUUUGCAAUACGAGUCCCUCAAUUCAUUUUUGUGCCACCACAGUCCUUUACGUAAUAAUCAAUUAGAAUUGCUCAUUGCAACUUGGAUAUUUGUUACUCAACAAGAUAUUAGUUUCUUUGGAUUUUUUCUGAGAAAAAACCGGUGAAAUGGUGGGAAAAAUCUGCUAAAAAAUUUUAAAAAUCUUAGGGUCCAUUUGGUUGGACUAAAAAUAUUUUCCUUUGGUUAGGAAAAUAUUUUCCAUUGAAGUCAUAUUCCUGAAAAAUCACUUCCUUCCCCAUAAUUUUCCAGUGUUUGGUUAUUAAGUGAAAAUAUUUUCCAAAUUCCUUUUUUCAUAAUUUUCCGGUGUUUGGUUUGUCAAUGAAAAUAUUUUCUAAUAUGUUUGUUGAUAUGUUGCAAAUAUUUUUCUACUCUCAAAACAUUCAUUUCAUUACAAGUUAAUUUUAGUUUCUAUCCAUUAUAAUCAUAUUAUCAUUUCUAUAAAAUAUUUAUUCCUAUUACACAACUUCCUAAAUUAUGUGUAAGGAUCUAAAACUUAAAUUUCCUUUGAGAUCUCUAUAUGUGAAUCUCAGGGAUGAACAUGGUCACCAACAUUGAUUCUCUUCGUAGGAACCUGAGCAACAACUCUUUUCGACCGUCACAAGUUCCAGCAUGGUUCUCAACCUUAAAGUCACUAACCACUUUGUGAGUAUUAAUCACUAUGGAAUCAAUACUAAAAACUCCUUCAUUUUUCUUAUUAAAAUUUAUGGAAUGGUGAUCAGGGCUUUGAAAAAUGCUCCACUCCAGGGACAAGUACCCCAGCAACUUUUUAGUUUACCUCAGAUCCAAAUAGUGUAUGUUUAAAAAUAAGCAAUCUCGAAGAAAGAAAGCAUUUGGAUGCUACCUGGAGAAGUGAAAGAACUUAUUUUGCUAGCAUUAACUUUUAACAGGAUUCUGAGGAAGAACGCAUUCAAUGAUACAUUGGAUAUGAGUAACAACAUUAGCCAAUUCUCUUUCCUAACCAAACUGCUAAAUAUUCUCUCUUUACUCCAGCUUGAUGAGGAAUCUAGUAUGCACAAGUUCAAUCGCAAGCACAUCUUACUGUCAGCCACAGAAACGAUCUGCAACAAAUUGUUCAACCAGCCUCAAGUGCUGCACCGUCUUCUCCAAAACCCAAAACUUAGGAAGCUGUGCAAUUUUCUCUCCAAAUCAACCUUUAUUUAUGCUGUAUAAAUUAGAAUCCAUAAAUAAUUUUGCCACAAAAUGUGCAGCCAGAUCAUCAACCAACUUGAUAUUUGGUAUCUGGUAAUGAAAACUAAUUAUCAUCUUCUUUAAGGACCAACUUAAGCAACAAGCCAAGCAGAAUACCACAAAACAUGCAAUCAUUUAAGACACAAAAUUGAAGAAAGAAUAAUUUGUCUUUGACGUAAGCAGAUGAUAAACUUAAGUAACAAGCCAAGGAGAAUACCUCGGUAUAACCAUUACCAAUACCCACACCUUUUGAAUCAGAAAAUAAUCAUAACUGAAACCUUUAUCCUAGGAAUUUACAUCAAUACACAACUUGCAGCAACACCAACACCGCUAUUGCCAACAUUAUGCAGUUAGGUCUGCAACAUUGAUUCUAACAAGUAUGUCUUCUUUUGACAACUAUGGUUCCAGACAGAAAAAACAAAGCACUCUCCAAGGGUCAGUUUCCACCAAGAGAAAAUUGCUUAGUGUCUUUAAAUAGUCACAAUCAACAUCUUGUUCAUCUGAUCAUACUACAAGCAAUAACCACUGAUUACAACAAAAACAAGAAUGUAAGCUUAAUGAAACAGUCCAAGCUCCCAUGUCCAUUCCGCAGCUUCGUAAAAAUCAUUAAAGGACAUUGCUCUAAACAAACUAGUAUACAACACUAGAACACCGGCAAAUGCCAACAAUUGAAAUCCACAAGAAGCUUAGGAGGACAAAUGAUAAUCCGUCAACAACCGUAACAAACAUAUUCAAUUACAACUUCCUCAAUAGUCCAUAUCCUAAAGAACAAACUCUGCUCCAAAUGAACAAACUAAAUGCCUAAGUCAAGCAACUCUCCACCCCAAAUCUUUAAAGAUAGUCAGAAUUGCAAGUUCAAGUUCCCAAUAGAUAAAAAGCCAGUGAAAUUAAUAAUCAUAUUUCUAGAAUCAUAAAACCCCCAAAAUUCAGCAGCCAAAUUAAUUCAUUAGCAUCAAUCAAAUCAAAUGUAACUCUAAUCAGGUAAGAACAAACUAAAACAAAAGCAACCCACAAAAAUUCAUUCAAAUCCAACUUUGAAAGGAAACAGACGAAAUUUGUGUGCAAUUGUAUAUACAAACACAGUGAAGCUGUUUAUGCGUGAAGACGAGAAACUGAGAGUUAAAAAAACCUGCCGAAUGAAGAUGACUCAUGAGUAUAUAGAAUAUGUAGUGGUAGCCGCCGAGAUAGUGUCGCCGGAAGGGGUGAUCGCCACUGAGGACUGACGCCGGAAGAAGCGGGAAUGGGGGUUCUUCGGGAAUGAAAGGGAAAAAAAAUGAGAGAGAGAAAGAGAGAGAGAUGCCGGAGUAGUUUACCAGAUGAGAUGCCGGGAAUGAAAGGUAUUGUCCCUUGGAUUUGUUUGUUGAUGUCGAAAAUCCUUGCGAGGCUGUGAAAAAAAGGCUGAGGAAAAUAACUUCACAAUAAAGGCUAAGGAAGUUAUUUUCCUCCCAUGGAUGUAACUUAUUUUCUGUCAUAAAUUAUUUUCUCUAAUUAUUUGGUUACCAAACACUGGAAAAUCUGGAAAAUAUUUUCCACCCAAACAAACAGACCAUUAAUGGAAUAAAAUUUCGUAUAAUUAAUUGUGCCAAAUCAUAAUCAUCAAAUCCAGAUAGUAUAUGAUAGUGGUUAUUAUAAAUGGGAUAAUCUAUGAGUCUUAGGAUAGCUAGACUGCCAUCAUUAAUAAAUUUCUGUCAGGCAAGAGCUCCUGAGCCAGGUUCGGUCAGUAGCAGAUUUGGGAAAAGAAUUUGGGGAGAAGAGAGAAUUGAGUGAAAAGAGAGAGAAGGCAAGAGAGAUUAACCGAGAAGAGAGAGAAAGUGAUUCUGGUAUUAAGCUUUUGAUGAUCCCAUAACAGCAAAUGAAUGGGAUCUUAUACAAUUCUGUUGUCUGUUGCAACUAACUCUAACUAACUGAAUUAAUCUAACUACGUCAUUUAAGACGUUAUGCAAUACAAUCACCAAACGCACAGCACUCCUCACCAAACGACAUCCCUUAGACGUUGGGACCUGACAUUCCCUUCCUAAUAAGGAAUGAGCUUGUCCUCAAGCUGAAAAAUCAGGAAACUGCUUGUCAAUGAACGUUUUGUCCUCCCAAGAUGCCUCAGUUUCUGGCAAAUGAUUCCAUUUGACCAAAUAUUGAAUGAUGAGUUGAGAGUUUCGUAGAACAACCCUCCUCCUUACUACCCUCUCCGGCUGUAAAAUACACUGGUCAGAAGCAUCAAACUCAGGCAGGGUAGGUUCAGUGCCCUGGCCUACCCCAACCUUCUUCUUCAACAGAGAAAUGUGAAAAACUGGGUGUAUUCUGGCCUUCUCCGGAAGCUGUAGCUUGUAAGCUGCUGCACCAAUCUUCUCAAUAAUCUGGAAGGGUCCAUAGUACUUAGGAGACAAUUUUAAACUCUUCCUGAUGGCCACUGUCUGCUGUCUAUAAGGCUGCAGUUUCAGGAAGACCCAUUCACCUACUUGGAAGGACCUCUCUGUCCUAUUUUGAUCAGCAAAGUGUUUCAUUCGAUUCUGAGUCUUGGCCAGAUUAUCUUUGAUGUUUGCUAGAACCUGAAGUCUCUUCUGUACCAUACCAACAGCUGCCGGUACAACACUAUCAUGGAAGGGUCCUAAAGGCAGAUGCAAUGGUUUAUAUCCAUAUAAAGCUUCAAAAGGGGUCAGCUGCAGACUUGUGUGAAAAUUAGUAUUAUACCACAGCUCAGCUGCAGACAACCAAGUACUCCAGUGGGAUGGAUAUUCACUACACAUACACCUCAAGUAGCUUUCAAGACACUGAUUAACCCUUUCACUCUGACCAUCAGUUUGAGGCCGAUAUGAUGAACUAUACUGCAAUCCAACCCCCAAGGCACGAAACAACUCCUGCCAGAAUUUGCUAAUGAAGACUUUGUCCCUGUCAGAGGUAAGGGACUCAGGUAGACCAUGCAACUUAUACACCUGGUCAAGGAACGACUGAGCUACCUGGUGUGCAGAAUAAGGGUGGGAUAACUUCAUGAAGUGACUGUACUUAGUGAAACGAUCCACCACUACCAGAAUGGUAUCAUACCCAUUAGAUAGAGGCAGCUGCUCGAUAAGAUCUAUAGUCAGGUGUGUCCAUGCCUGUUGAGGAACUGGAAGUGGUUGCAGUAGUCCUGGAUAAGGGACAUUUUCAUGCUUAUUCCUCUGACAAGUAUCACAAGCCUGAACAAACUGUACAACAUCCCUUUUUAUGCCUGGCCAGUAGAAUAUAGAUUGUAUCCUUUGUAGACAGGCUCUUUGACCAGAGUGACCCCCAACAGCUGAAUCGUGUAGAGCCUUGAUCAAGCUGUGCCUGAUUCCAUUAGCUGCUCCCACAUAUAGUUUUCCCUUGAAUUUGAGCAAUCCUUUCUCCAGCUGGUACCCUGAACAAGCAUUAGGGUCUAACAACAAUUGAGACAUGAUAUCCAAAGCUACAAUGUCACCAUCAUAACUCCCCACUAGCUCCUUCACCCAAACUGGUUGCACAGCUGAGAGCACACAGAGGUGCUUUCCUUUGUCUGGCUCCUCGUUUCCUCCAUCCAACCUCCUUCUAGACAGGGCGUCAGCUACCCCAUUUUCAGUCCCCUUUUUAUACUGAAUCUCAUAGUCCAGGCCAAGUAACUUGGUAAGCCACUUGUGCUGUAAAUGAUGGGUAAGUCUUUGCUCCAACAGAUACUUAUUCCUAAGUUCUGAGGAGAGAGGGCUUUGCUAAUGAAAGCUAUGGGGUGGCCCUGCUGCAUUAACACUGCCCCAAUGCCCACACCACAAGCAUCAGUUUCUAUCAUAAAAGGAAGCUCAAAAUUUGGCAUUUUGAGAACUGGUGCAGUAGUCAUGGCCCUUUUGAGAUCUUCAAAUGCUAACUGAGCAUUGUGACUCCAUACAAAGCCUUCCUUUUUCAGCAACUGAGUUAAUGGUUUACAGAUGAUCCCAUAUCCCUUAAUAAACCUUCUAUAGUAUCCAAUUAACCCCAAGAAUCCUCGCAAGUCCUUAACUGUGCCAGGAGUAGGCCAUGAUUGGAUACAUUCCACCUUGCUCAUGUCCAUACUCACUCUUUUCUUAGAAAUAAUGUGUCACAAAUACUCCACUGAAGUUUGAGCAAAAGAAUAUUUAGACUUUUUGCAAUACAGCUGGUUGUCAGCUAAGAUGCUCAACACAAUCUUCAAAUGCUGUGCGUGUGCUUCCAGUGUAGGACUAUAAACCAGAAUGUCAUCAAAGAAAAUCAAUAUGAACUUCCUCAUAUAAGGUUGAAAUAUUCUGUUCAUCAAAGAUUGGAAAGUGGCUGGUGCAUUAGUGAGGCCAAAUGGCAUCACCAAAAAUUCAAAAUGGCCAUGGUGUGUCUGGAAAGCAGUCUUAGGUAUGUCUGCUGUCUUGACUCUCAGCUGAUGAUAUCGAGCUCUGAGGUCUAGUUUAGACAUAUACUUAAUCCCAUGUAGUUCAUUCAACAGCUCAUCAAUGUUUGGGAUAGGGAACCUGUCCUUGACAGUAAGUUCAUUUAGCUUCCUAUAAUCCACACAUAGCCUCCACGUAUUGUCUUUUUUCUUAACCAACAGCACAAGAGAAGCAAAAGGACUACAACUGUGCUUAACAAUCCCAUUUGUAAGCAUUUCAACCACCUGUUUUUCAAUCUCAGAUUUAUGUGCGUGGGGGUACCUGUAAGGUUUAAGUUUAAAUGGCUUUGCUCUUGGCUUCAAGGUAAUUUGAUGAUCUAAUUCCCUCUCAGGAGGCAGUCCUUGAGGGGUUUCAAACACCUGAGAGUACUGUUGCAAGACUGAGGCCACUUGUUUUGGAAUAUCCUCCUCUUGAUUGCCCUGGGGGUCCACCUGUAGAGAGGCACAGCUCCUUUGCUUUUCUUGUAUAAAUGUUCUAAGAUCUUUACCUCUUACUAGUUUCAUCACAGGUUGGUUAAUGAAGCCUUGGAGAUGUAAUAAGUCACCCCUGCUACUAAGAGCAAUACUGAGUGCAUGGAAAUCAAAAGUGAUGGGACUGAAUUGACACAUCCAGUCAACUCCUAAGAUGAUAUCGCAGUUCCCUAACUCCAUUAUCUUCAGAUCGAAUUGGAACUGAUAGUCCUGUAUUAACCAUCUAACACCUGGACAAAUUGUGCCACUAGUGAUGUCAGUGCCAUCUGCCAAAGUUACAGUAAAAGGUCUGACUGUUUGAUAAAGGAGCUGAAGAGACUUAACCAAUUGAUAGUGUAUGAAGCUGUCAGAACUACCAGUGUCCACCAGGAUCUUGACAGGUAUUCCACCUAAGUUGCCUAGUAGCAAAAUGGAUUUCCUCUGUAUUGCUGCUGCUAGAGCAUUCAGUGACACUUCAGCCAAUUCUCCUACCCUCCCAGUCAGCUCAUCUUGUUCUCCUUCCGCAUCUUCGAAUUCAGCUUCAUCCUCUUCCUCUAUACCUACACAGUUCAAUCCCCCAGACUUACACUGGUGACCAACUCCAAAUUUAUCCCCACAUCUAUAACAUAGGCCAUGCUUACGCCUAUACUGCAUUUCCUCAGCCAAAAUCCUACUCACUUCUCUGGAUCUAGUGUCAACCUUCCUAUUAGUAGGAUCAAUAGCAGGAAGUUUAUAGGAGCUGGAAUUGUUUUGGCUAUUACUGUGAUUUCUAAACAUCCCAUACUUAGGUUCAACCGCAGUCCUUCCUGAGGUCUUAGGUUGCUUGGACAUGGUUUCCAGUGAGCAUUCCUGCAAUUCAGCAACCUCAAACGCUUUGGAUAGAGUCUGUGGUUUGAACAUUUUGACCAUUGGUUUAAUCUCAUCCUUUAAACCACUAAUGAAACUGGAUAUAAAAUAACCUUCAUCCAGCCUAGGAUUUCUGAUCAACAUGAGCGUUUUCAAUUCCUCAAACUUCUCCUCAUACUCUUUUACUGUCCCUUUUUGUUGUAAUUUGUUGAAUUCCUCAACCACAUCACGUGACCACUUCCCUGCAAACCUUUCAUACAACAGCUCGCAAAAUUCAGACCAAUUCAACCUAGGUUUUUCCAGUCUAACUCCCUGGAACCAAUUAUCAGCUCUCCCUUCUAAAAACAUUUCUACCAUAUCUACCCUUUGAUUUUCAGGUAUUUGAUAAUUCAAAAAGUAUUUAUGGCAUUUCCUCAACCAUUCUCUAGGAUUACCAGAUGCGAACAUAGGCAUUUCAAGUCUUGGCAAGCUGGGAGUAAAAAUCUUAGCUGUAACCUCCGGUUGAGCUCCAUGCACCUCUGUGGACGUCAUGAGCUUAAAAUGCGGUGGAGGAGUCGGUAGGAGUGGUUCCGAUGAGCCUGCCUCUGUCUCCGGCAUACUUUUUUCUUUCAUCAUCACCUUCAGUAGCGCAUUGAGUUUCAUUUCCAUCUUACUGAACCUCUAGUCCAGGUUGCCUACCAUCGCCUCUACCUUCGCGUUGUUCUGCCCAAGCUCCUCCUGAAGUUUCUGCUGCAAGCUAUUCUGGCAGGAGGUCUGAACUGCGGCCAUGGUCUCCAUUACCUCCUGAAGUCGAGUUUCUUGUUUCUUGAGCUGUUCCUCCAGAGAAUGAUACCUGGUGUUUUCAGCCAUGGGUAGUGCCUCCAGCAGCCAAGGAUCGGCUGCUUUGAUACCAAUUGUCAGGCAAGAGCUCCUGAGCCAAGUUCGGUCAGUAGCAGAUUUGGGAAAAGAAUUUGGGGAGAAGAGAGAAUUGAGUGAAAAGAGAGAGAAGGCAAGAGAGAUUAACCGAGAAGAGAGAGAAAGUGAUUCUGGUAUUAAGCUUAUGAUGAUCCCAUAACAGCAAAUGAAUGGGAUCUUAUACAAUUCUGUUGUCUAUUGCAACUAAUUCUAACUAACUGAAUUAAUCUAACUACGUCGUUUAAGACGUUAUGCAAUACAAUCACCAAACGCACAGCACUCCUCACCAAACGACAUCCCUUAGACGUUGGGGCCUGACAAUUUCAUAGCGAGCAUUAGGCACGCACCCUGGAUGCUACUG